UACGUAGGGUGCAAGCGUUAAUCGGAAUUACUGGGCGUAAAGCGUGCGCAGGCGGUUUUGUAAGUCGGGCGUGAAAUCCCCGGGCUCAACCUGGGAAUUGCGUUGGAGACUGCAAGGCUGGAGUCUGGCAGAGGGGGGUAGAAUUCCACGUGUAGCAGUGAAAUGCGUAGAGAUGUGGAGGAACACCGAUGGCGAAGGCAGCCCCCUGGGUCAAGACUGACGCUCAUGCACGAAAGCGUGGGGAGCAAACAGG
rnacentral:rRNA from 1 species